rnacentral:lncRNA from 1 species
GUGAGACACAUUUGUAGAGGCGCAAAAAAGGACGAACAUUGUGAUGUGAGUUCUGAAGUUUCGAUAUGGGCUGUUGCUUCAGCAAAGAACUCAGUAAUGACAGUGACAAUGAGAAAAUUGGCCUGUUACAAAAAUGUGUGGAAGAGAAGAAACCGGAGACCAAGAUAAGUAAAACUUUAUCUUCAUUAUUUGAUACCCUUGAAGGUGAGGAGCUUCAUACUGUUGAAAAUGGACCCAGCAGAGCAGCCGCUGGUGUUACUGUGUGGACUAGAGUUUUUACCAGGUCCAGGCACAAACAGGAUCAUAGAUCAAAGCAGUCAUUGAAUUCUAAUUCCUCUACCACUUCUGAGUUCUUUUAUGGGUCUGAAAAUUUAGAUGAGGUUAACAAGAAUUUAGAUACUGUUGCUACCGAAGAGAAUUCUGAGAUUGCCAGUGAUCCACUGGGUAUGAAUAGUGAUAGACAGGCUUGUUCUGAAAAUGACCAGCCUUUCUCACGUGUGCCCAUGUCUUCUGACCAGCAGGAGAAAACUUUUGUAAGUGACCAUCUACAAUGUUACCUGGCCACUUGCAAAAACUCAUUAGAAAAAGAAAACGUGCUAAAUGGUGGAAUCAGUAGUUUAAAUGAGAGUAACUCUGUUAGUGUGUCUGCUGGAGAGUUGCAAAAUACAACCCGUAUUUGUGUUGGUGACAAACUGUGUAAGAAUUCAAGGGAAAGCAGAUUUUAUAGUAUUUGUGCUGUAGAUCUGGAUUGUAUGAACAUGGAUGAGGGACUGUUCACUCCCAUGUAUGGAACAGCUGCAGAAGAAAGCCAUUCAGCUGUUACUUACCAAGUUUUCCAAGAGGAUCGGCCCUUAGAUAACAGGGAAGAGCAUACUGCCUCAGAUGCCAUACAGAGGGCAGGAGAGCGAAAGCUGCAGCAGGAAGAGCUCUUACCCCAAGAUGUCCUCGGCCCACGUGACACAAGAGAAGUGUCUAGUGAGAGAAGUGAAUGGAGUUCUGAUCCUUUGGUGGACAGUGCUGCAUCUGAUGAAGCACUCAUCAGUGACCUGCAAGCUGAGUCUCUAAGGGCAAAAGUUCAUGCCAAAUUCCCUAAAGAUCACACAGAACAUAGUAUAUUACAUAAUACUGGCCUACUCCCUGAAUUAACUAUUAACAUAGGCAGUGACUCAUUACAGCGCAUGUGUGCUGUAUCUGAAGAGAGAGAGAGCAGUGCUUCAGGAAUAGGAAGUCAGAUGGGUGAUUCACUUGUUAAUUUACCAAGUGAUAGUUCCCAUGUUGAUGGGAUUGCUGAACCUGCGGCUACAACAGUUAGCACUUGUCAAAGUUUAAACUCUAAAAUGGAAAGAGAGCACAACUCUGAAAAGCCACUAGACUGUAAUGAUUACUUCCACAUCAGUGUUAGCAGGUCAGGUAGGACCCUUUCCUUUGGUCUAGAUAAGAUUAAUUUAAGUCCUGAAAAGUUAGCGUCAGAGAGCUUAGACAGGGACUAUCUCCCAGUUCAUGCUAAUUUCAAAGAAGCUGCCUUGAGCAAACUUGAUGGCCCUAAUCCUAUAUCCCACCGGGGACCAGUGUGUGUGGAGGAGCAACCCUUGGGGGAUAGCAAUCUGGAAACUGGAAGUAUCCAGCUGGCAAACAGAGGUGAGCUGUUCUUGUGUUCUGAAAAUAGUUCCAUUUGUCAAGAUGAGGAUAAAAUGAGCAUUUUAGAGACGGAGAGCCGUGCCAAGAGGGAGUUGAAAAGUUGGUGUCAAGCAGAUGUCUGUAGAGGUAAUAGGGCAGACAAGGCUCAGAGAGAAACUUAUGAUUUAACGCAAGUGAAAAGUGAACCAGACACAGAAGAGGUGGUCCAGAAGGCGGAUCUCCUGAAGCUUGGACUUUCACAAAGAAUGCCAAAUGACGAGUCUCACUCCAGACCGCAUCAGGGCACAGUAACACCCCCUGCAUUUAUUUUCACUUGUACUGGUCCUGAAGCAAGGGAAACAGGCCUACAUGACAAAACAGGAGAUAAAGUACAUGUGAAGAGCUUGGUUGGUGUAUUACACAACCAAUUCAGUGGGCCCUAUGUACUAGCAAACGCUGAAAAGGAACCACAGAAAGCUAAUUAUAGAGAGAUCUGUGAGAAGAACACAGGAAAUGCCGAGUCCAGUUUUCAUUGGGAAACCAGUGUUCUUAGCAAGGUUGUGCCCAAUGGGAAUAUGGUAACUUGUAUUGGUAUUGGCAUAGCAGCAGAUCCUGACUGUGAAACUAAUCAAAUUGAAAACAGUUACAGAACUGAUGGUGUGAAUGAAGACCCAGACCUUACAGUUGUGCCACCUUUAAACCACAGUUUAUUGUCACCUGAAGAGGAGUGGGCCAACAGUGACAGAAGCCCAGACCUGUGUCUCAUUAACACUGAAUCAAUUCAAGAUGUUUCUAAAGCCUUUGGUAAUGAUGCGUCAGAAUUGAGCAAAGAAAAGCUAACAUGCAAAGAAGAGAACGAGACACUUGGUUUGGAUAAAGACAGUAACAAUCCUAACAGCACUGGCUGCUUAGGCCCAUGCAAGACAAAAA